CAUUUCUUCUUGCAUUUUCUGGUGGGGGGGUUAGUUAGGGGGAGGGGAAUUGGAAAGGAAGAGAGACAUCGCUGAGUUCGCGGCACAAGUUGCUUCUCCGAGUCAGUGCCCGAAUGUCUGAAUGAAUCUCCGAAUCUCCAAAUGUCUGCCUUACCUUCAGCUCCGAGUGACUGAUCCUUCACUCCAAGCCCAGGCCGCCAUCUUGACUCCACCUCCUGACCUGAAGGAUUUCUAUUGAACUGGAAAGACCUCCAUAAAUUGAUGCAGAGAAAAAGGAGCAGAACCAGAACACUGUACACAGAAACUCAAACACUGUGGGACAAUCAAAUGUAACAGACUUUUCUGAAGGACUUAUGAGAAAGAACUGUGGGAGUAGAAACACAUUCACAUUCACAUUCACAUUCAGAGAAAGAACUGUGGGAGUAGAAAUGCAAAAGAAAAACAUAUCAUUGAUCACAUAAUUCAAUGGGGAUAUGAUUGGGGAUGAUGACUUUAAAUGAUCACUCAAUUGCAAAUAUGAAUAAUAUGGAAAUAGGUUUUGAACAAUGAUACAUGUUUAACCCACUGGAAUUGCUUGUCAGCUCCAGAAGCAGGGCAGGAAGGGGGGGGUAGGAAAAACAUCAAUCAUGUAACUAUGGAAAAAUAUUAUAUACAAAUAAAUAAAUUUAAAUUUAAAAAUAAAAAAAUGAGUUGGAGUAGGAAAUGGCAAAUUACUUCAAUAUCUUUGCUAAGAUAAAAUCUCAAAUGGCAUCAUGAGGAACUGGAGACAACUGAAAUGAUUGAAUAACAACAAAAGGGAUUUUAAAAGCUAUCUAGUCCAAACCCCUGUAUUAAUAAUAAUUAGAAUAAUAAAAUUCAAGUAGCAUUUUAUAUUUAAAAUUUUCAUUUGAUUCUUAUAACACCUCUGAG